rnacentral:rRNA from 1 species
AGAGUUUGAUCCUGGCUCAGAAUCAACGCUGGCGGCGUGCCUAACACAUGCAAGUCGCACGAGAAAGGGUAGCAAUACCUGAGUACAGUGGCGCACGGGUGAGUAACACGUGAAUAAUCUACCUCCGAGUGGGGAAUAACUUAGGGAAACCUGAGCUAAUACCGCAUAACGCUUACGAGUCAAAGCAGCAAUGCGCUUGGAGAGGAGUUCGCGGCAGAUUAGUUAGUUGGCGGGGUAAUGGCCCACCAAGACGAUGAUCUGUAUCCGGCCUGAGAGGGCGCACGGACACACUGGAACUGAAACACGGUCCAGACUCCUACGGGAGGCAGCAGUGGGGAAUUUUGCGCAAUGGGGGAAACCCUGACGCAGCAACGCCGCGUGGAGGAUGAAAUCCCUUGGGAUGUAAACUCCUUUCGAUCGGGACGAUUAUGACGGUACCGGAAGAAGAAGCCCCGGCUAACUUCGUGCCAGCAGCCGCGGUAAUACGAGGGGGGCGAGCGUUGUUCGGAAUUAUUGGGCGUAAAGGGUGCGUAGGCGGUUUGAUAAGUCUGAUGUGAAAUCUAUGGGCUCAACCCAUAGCCUGCAUUAGAAACUGUCGGGCUUGAGUAUGGGAGAGGUGAGUGGAAUUUCCGGUGUAGCGGUGAAAUGCGUAGAUAUCGGAAGGAACACCUGUGGCGAAAGCGGCUCACUGGACCAUUACUGACGCUGAUGCACGAAAGCUAGGGGAGCAAACAGGAUUAGAUACCCUAGUAGUCC